ACACACCGUCGCGCAAGGAAUGCCUCUCACUUGGACCUCACACUACGAAGGGAAUAAUUGUUUUUUCAAUUGCGAAUUGAUGGAUUUAAAUUUGAAGUUUGUCAAGAUUGUGUACCACGGUUGGAAGGGAUUUCAAAAAUAUCAACAUUUGAUCAUAUAUCGUUCGAGAGGAGAGAUGCUCACCAGCCUUGUUUACGUCCCAGACGAUAACGAUGGCACCUAGAUUGGCCAACCUGAGGGCGGUUAAUCUUCCUAGACCGCUACCACCACCGGUAACCAGAGUAAUUUCCCCAGCAAUGCUCUUCAUCUUGUAUUUCAACGGGAUGAACAAAUUGAUGAUAGUUUCGAUGCAGAAGAUCACUGUCCAAAAAA